UGCUGUGUGUGGCAUAGUGGUUUGAGUGUUGGACUAUGAUUCUGGAGACCAGGGUUUGAAUCCCAGCUCAGCCA